UACGUAGGCAGCGAGCGUUGUUCGGAGUUACUGGGCGUAAAGGGUGCGUAGGCGGUUGUUUAAGUUUGGUGGGAAAUCUCCCGGCUCAACUGGGAGGGUGCGCCGAAUACUGAAUGACUAGAGUCCGGAAGAGGAGUGUGGAAUUCCCGGUGUAGCGGUGAAAUGCGCAGAUAUCGGGAAGAACACCCGUGGCGAAGGCGGCGCCCUGGGACGGUACUGACGCUGAGACGCGAAAGCGUGGGGAGCAAACAGG
rnacentral:rRNA from 1 species